AUUGAACGCUGGCGGCAGGCCUAACACAUGCAAGUCGAACGAGUGGCGGACGGGUGAGUAAUGUCUGGGAAACUGCCUGAUGGAGGGGGCUAACUACUGGAAACGGUAGCUAAUACCGCAUACCAUCGGAUGUGCCCAGAUGGGAUUCGCUAGUUGGUGGGGGAAAGGCUCACCUAGGAGACGAUCCCUAGCUAGUCUGAGCGGAUGACCAGCCGAACUGGAACUGCGACACGGUCCAGACUCCUACGGGACGCAGCAGAGGGGAAUAUGUCACAAUGGGAGCAAUCCUGAUGCAGCCAUGCCGAGUGUAUGAAGAAGGCCUUCGAGUUGUAAAAUACUUUCAGCGGGGAGGCGUUACACGCAUAAGAAGCACCGGCUAACUCCGUGCCAGCAGCAGCGGUAAUAC
rnacentral:rRNA from 1 species